rnacentral:rRNA from 1 species
GAUGAACGCUGGCGGCGUGCCUAAUACAUGCAAGUCGAGCGAACAGACGAGGAGCUUGCUCCUCUGACGUUAGCGGCGGACGGGUGAGUAACACGUGGAUAGCCUACCUAUAAGACUGGGAUAACUUCGGGAAACCGGAGCUAAUACCGGAUAAUAUAUUGAACCGCAUGGUUCAUUAGUGAAAGACGGUUUUGCUGUCACUUAUAGAUGGAUCCGCGCCGCAUUAGCUAGUUGGUAAGGUAACGGCUUACCAAGGCGACGAUGCGUAGCCGACCUGAGAGGGUGAUCGGCCACACUGGAACUGAGACACGGUCCAGACUCCUACGGGAGGCAGCAGUAGGGAAUCUUCCGCAAUGGGCGAAAGCCUGACGGAGCAACGCCGCGUGAGUGAUGAAGGUCUUCGGAUCGUAAAACUCUGUUAUUAGGGAAGAACAAAUGUGUAAGUAACUAUGCACGUCUUGACGGUACCUAAUCAGAAAGCCACGGCUAACUACGUG